rnacentral:rRNA from 1 species
UACGGAGGGUGCAAGCGUUGUUCGGAAUUACUGGGCGUAAAGCGCACGUAGGCGGGUCUGUAUGUCGAUUGUGAAAUCCCCGGGCUUAACCCGGGAAUUGCAGUCGAAACUGCAGAUCUUGAAUGUUUGAGAGGAUGGCGGAAUUCCUGGUGUAGUAGUGAAAUACGUAGAUAUCAGGAAGAACACCAGAGGCGAAGGCGGCUAUCUGGCAAUACAUUGACGCUGAGGUGCGAAAGCGUGGGGAGCAAACAGG